rnacentral:rRNA from 1 species
GACGAACGCUGGCGGCGUGCUUAACACAUGCAAGUCGAACGGAAAGGCCCUGCUUUUGUGGGGUGCUCGAGUGGCGAACGGGUGAGUAACACGUGAGUAACCUGCCCUUGACUUUGGGAUAACUUCAGGAAACUGGGGCUAAUACCGGAUAGGAGCUCCUGCUGCAUGGUGGGGGUUGGAAAGUUUCGGCGGUUGGGGAUGGACUCGCGGCUUAUCAGCUUGUUGGUGGGGUAGUGGCUUACCAAGGCUUUGACGGGUAGCCGGCCUGAGAGGGUGACCGGCCACAUUGGGCCUGAGAUACGGCCCAGACUCCUACGGGAGGCAGCAGUGGGGAAUAUUGCACAAUGGGCGGAAGCCUGAUGCAGCAACGCCGCGUGCGGGAUGACGGCCUUCGGGUUGUAAACCGCUUUCGCCUGUGACGAAGCGUGAGUGACGGUAAUGGGUAAAGAAGCACCGGCUAACUACGU